GGAUGGGGAAGGGCGGGACCCGCUCCCGGCCCGGCCCCGACUGCGCCUCUGCCGCGGAACGGGGAGGGGGAGCGGCGGUGCGAGGGGCGGCCCGAGGCGCGGCCGUGCCCGCUCUUUACCUGGGCUGUGAAACCGAGCCGGCUGUGAAACCGCCCCGCCUGGGCGGAGGGGCGGCGGGCUGGGGCCGCGGCGGGGAGCCGGGGGAUAGCUGCCCCCGCCGUCGAGGGGAAAGUGUUAGUCACCGCCGGGAGCUCCCGGGUGUGUUUGCCCCGUGACACACGGGCAGGGGGAGCAGGGCCCCCGUCCCUCCCGGCUCGGGGCUUCCCGCGCCCGCCGCCGACCUUCGGAGCGCCGGGGCAGUCCCGAGGCCUUUGCCCUGGCCUGGGAUCCCCGGGCUCUUCCCUCGGGACAGGUGGAGGGUGUUUCACUCUCCUCUUGGCGAGCUAAGAGAAAGCAGGGAAUAGUCACGCUUUAUAGUGAGCUUUGUUCGCAUCCGAGGGUGCUGUGCGAGCUACUCUGUGCUUGACAUAAAUUCUGAUAAUUUCUCAGUAAACUGAAAAACAGAACGCUUACCUAUGUAGAAUUAACACUUUUGUAAGGAUCUUUACUGAUUAUGUGUUUUGUUUUUAUUUUCGCUUUCGGUUCCUUUGCAGAAUACAUAGUAGAUGUCUCUACCUCAGGGUUACUCUGAAGAUUCGCUCCUGGCGCUACAGUAUACUCAUUUCCUCGCUCAGGAAAAGUAGUCCUGAGUGCUUUGUCUCUGAGAAGCGCAGCUUUGUGGGAACCUGCAAAAUGGGAGGUAGGGCCAGAGCCCUGCCAGGUUGCCGAGGAGGAAACACGGGAAAGCCGGCUGCAGGUUUUAAGAUGGCUUUCCAAAGUGUAAAAGCAAUGCCAAAAUGGAAGACAAAAGAUAGGCUUCAUUAUCUGCAUUGAAUGAAACCUUAAAAGAACUGUAGGAAGAGGACAAUAUUGAGAAACUGUGUGCAGUACCUUGUCCUAUGGGUUUCUGAAGAUUCCAUGUUGUCACAAAUUGACACAUGCUGCUGCUCAAAGGCCUGAUAAAACUGGUGUUUCUGUGUAUUUUAUUUUUCCUGCCUCUUUGAAAACCACCAGAAAACAGGGCUGUCCUUGAAGUUCUGCCUUCCCACUACUGAACUUGAUGCUGCUCCUUUCCUAGCAGUACAAGAGCAUGUGAGCCAAAUUAUUUGCAUAUGAAAACAAUUUCCUCUUGCUUCAGGAAUUAUAGCUACACUACUUUGGAUUAAUCCUUUCAUGAGAGAAACUGGAACUCUCCAGAUCAGACUACCUUGUUUCAUACAACCAGCGCACAGGAAGGGUUAGGAAAGAGGUACGACAUGAAACCCUGUGUAUUAAGCUGGACAAACCCUGCAUUGUCUCGG